rnacentral:rRNA from 1 species
AGAGUUUGAUCCUGGCUCAGGACGAACGCUGGCGGCGUGCUUAACACAUGCAAGUCGAGCGGAAAGGCCCUUCGGGGUACUCGAGCGGCGAACGGGUGAGUAACACGUGAGUAACCUGCCCCUGACUCUGGGAUAAGCCUGGGAAACUGGGUCUAAUACCGGAUACGACCUCCUGCGGCAUCGUGGGUGGUGGAAAGUUUUUCGGUUGGGGAUGGGCUCGCGGCCUAUCAGCUUGUUGGUGGGGUAGUGGCCUACCAAGGCGACGACGGGUAGCCGGCCUGAGAGGGCGACCGGCCACACUGGGACUGAGACACGGCCCAGACUCCUACGGGAGGCAGCAGUGGGAAUAUUGCGCAAUGGGCGGAAGCCUGACGCAGCGACGCCGCGUGGGGGAUGACGGCCUUCGGGUUGUAAACCUCUUUCAGCAGGGACGAAGUUGACGUGUACCUGCAGAAGAAGCGCCGGCUAACUACGUGCCAGCAGCCGCGGUAAUACGUAGGGCGCAAGCGUUGUCCGGAAUUAUUGGGCGUAAAGAGCUCGUAGGUGGCUGGUCGCGUCUGCCGUGAAAGCCCGCAGCUUAACUGCGGGUCUGCGGUGGAUACGGGCCGGCUAGAGGUAGGUAGGGGCAAGUGGAAUUCCUGGUGUAGCGGUGAAAUGCGCAGAUAUCAGGAGGAACACCGGUGGCGAAGGCGGCUUGCUGGGCCUUACCUGACGCUGAGUAGCGAAAGCGUGGGGAGCGAACAGGAUUAGAUACCCUGGUAGUCCACGCUGUAAACGUUGGGCGCUAGGUGUGGGGGUCUUCCACGAUCUCCGUGCCGGAGCUAACGCAUUAAGCGCCCCGCCUGGGAGUACGGCCGCAAGGCUAAAACUCAAAGGGAUUGACGGGGGCCCGCACAAGCGGCGGAGCAUGUUGCUUAAUUCGACGCAACGCGAAGAACCUUACCAAGGUUUGACAUCACCCGGAAACGUCCAGAGAUGGGCGCCUCUUCGGACUGGGUGACAGGUGGUGCAUGGCUGUCGUCAGCUCGUGUCGUGAGAUGUUGGGUUAAGUCCCGCAACGAGCGCAACCCUUGUUCCAUGUUGCCAGCACGCUCCUUCGGGGGUGGUGGGGACUCAUGGGAGACUGCCGGGGUCAACUCGGAGGAAGGUGGGGAUGACGUCAAGUCAUCAUGCCCCUUAUGUCUUGGGCUGCAAACAUGCUACAAUGGCCGGUACAGAGGGCUGCUAAACCGUGAGGUGGAGCGAAUCCCUAAAAGCCGGUCUCAGUUCGGAUUGGGGUCUGCAACU